rnacentral:snRNA from 1 species
AAAAAGGGCUUCUGCCGUGCGUGGCACGGGGGGGUCCCACGGCCGCCCCCGCGGAAUCGACAUCAAGAGAUUUCGGAAGCACAAUUUUUGGGGUGGGGGUCGCUGGUAAUCGCUUGUUCUGGCGCCCCG